AAAAAGAUUCCAAUGAAUUUAUUUACCAAACAGACACUGACUCACGGAUUUUGAAAACAAACUUAUGGUUACCAAAGUGGAAAUGCUGGGGGGAAGGAUAAAUCAGGAGUUUGGAAUUAGCACAUACACACUGCUGUGUAUAAAGGAGAUAACUAACAAGGUCCUACUAUAUAGCACAGAGAAGUCUAUUUGAUAUUCUGCAAUAACCUAUAUGGGAAAAGAAUCUGAAAAAGAAUGGGUAUGUGUAUAUGUAUAACUGAAUCACUUUGCUCUACGCCUGAAACUAACACAGCAGUGUAAGUCAACUAUAGUCCAAUAAAUUUUUUUUUCUCCCCUACACUGUGUUUUCUCCCUUUCCUUCUUCACAACUUAGUUAUAGUACAAGUCUUGAUUAAAUCACUAUUUACAUUAUUAUGACGGCUUAAAUGUCACUGCCAAGCCUCGUAGUUUAUAUACCACAUUUGAUUUUACCCAGAGCUAAUGAACACUUUAUUUUUUCAUUAGAUUUUCUAUAAGCCUAUUGUUCGGUUUUUUGUUUUUUGUUUUUUUUCCAGCUCCCAGCAGAUGUGUCACGUGGCCUCUGUUCUGCUCCAGUUUGGACUAUGUUUUGUUUCUUUUGUUUUUUUUCCUCCACUCCCAGGGUAUGUUGUUUGGGGACUUGCUUUCGUUGAUUCUCUUGUGGAUUCUUUUCUUGGACUCCAGUGUCUUUCUUUCUUGAUUUAACUCUGUUUUUUUCUGGAAUAUAUCCUCCAGUAGUCUUUUAAGAAAGGGUACAUGCAAGGUAACUUCUGAGUCCUUGGAUAUCUGAAAAUGUCUUUAUUCUACCCACACACUUCAUCGUUCAGCUGGGUAUAGAAUCCUCAGACAAAAAUAAUUUUGUGUGUUUGUAUAUACUUAUUAUUUUAUUUUUUUUUUUUCUUUCUUGGUUGCCCCACGGCAUAUGGAGGUCCUGAGCCAGGGAUCAGAUCUGAGCUACAACUGUGGCAACACCGGACCUUUUAACCCACUGUGCGGGGCCAGGGAUGGAACAUGCAUCCUGGCACUGCAGAGGCACCGCCAAUCCCAUUGUGCCACAGCAGGAACUCCUAUUUUUGUAUUUUUAUUUAUUUUUUUAUAUGGAAAUGUAGUUGAUUGACAAUGUUGUGUUAGUUUCAGGUGUGCAGCAAAGUGAUUCAGUUAUACCUAGACAUAUAUUCAUUCUUUCUCAGAUUAUUUUCCCAUAGAGGUUAUUACAGAGAAAAUAAUUUUUCCUAGAAUUUUAAGGCUCCUUCACUGCCUUCUAGUCUCUGUUGCUACCAGGGGGUUCUUUGCUGCUCCCUUUUUCCCUCUUCUUCAGUGUUUUUUCUCCCUUUAUAUUCUGUUAUUUCACGGUGAUUUGCCACGAUUUGAGUAUUUUCCACAUUAAUUAUUUUGAUCACUUGGCCCUUUUUAAUAUAAAAACUCAUGCUUUUCAUUUCUGGGGAAGUAUACUUUAUUUUCACUUUACUCAUUUCUUCUGUUUCCCCUUGUUUUCUCUUCUGGCACCCUGGUUAGCUGGACAAUAUACCACUUGAAUUAAUCUUCUGAUUUUCUUAUCUUUUAUGCUAUUGAGAGCUUUAGGGAACUGCAUCUGACUAGUGUCCAUGAGGAUGCAGGUUUGAUCCCUGGCCUUGCUCAGCGGGUUAAUGAUCCAGCAUUGCUGUGAGCUGUGGUGUAGCUCACAGACGCGGCUCAGAUCCCGCAGCUGCAGCUCCUAGCCUGGGAACUUCCAUAUGCUGUGGGUGCAGUCCUAAAAGAAAAAAAGAGAGAGAGACAGAAAGAGAACUUUUGUUUUCACAAGGUUUCAUUCUUGAUUUUUAACUUUUAAAAAAUAAGAUCUAUUUCGUGGAUUCAUCUCCUUUUCUGGCUCUGAAGAUAAUAAAUAGAGUGGAUUUAUAAACACCUUUCUUCUACUCUGUCUGUUGUUUCUGUGGUCUCUGAGUUCCUUUUUUCAGCUUGUCUGUUUCAUACUGCGCUCCUGUCUCUGAAGAUGUUUGUCCACACACAGUUAAGAGUGAGGCUCUAAAACCUUUGAUUGCAGUCCUGGUGUAAUUUGUGGGUUUGGAAUUUGGUAGAUGUCCUUUGAAGAAUGAUCUAGCCCUGAGCCAAGUUUUUCUUGGGGAGACACCAAAAGGCAGCAUUGGGAGGAUUUUUAUUUAAUGGGGACAUUUAGUUUCUUCUAAGACUACAAAGUCUCCUAAGACUACUGCUUUGGACAGAUAAAACUGAGUUCCACAAUUCCAGGGGCAUGAAAGAGAUCUGGAAUGCCUACCGUUCAGUUUUCCAGACUUCACUUUGAUCUCCAGCUUUCACCAUGGUGUGCUUUGACCUCCCAGGAGUCCAUCUGGUGGCCUCAGGUUAGGUUCUCCUCUUGAAUAACUUUUUAACAUUCUACUUAACCACAAAGCUGAGGGUGUGUGACAUUAUCAGUCACAUAGUAAUACCAAGUAUUCAGAUUUGGGGAGUUCUCGUUGUGGCUCAGCUGACUAGGAGUGCAGCAUUGUCUCCAUGAGGACACUGGUUCAAUCCCUGGCCUUGCUCGGCGGUUUAGGGAUCCGGCGUUGCCAUGCACUGUGGUGCUGGUUGAAGAUGUGGCUCAGAUUUUGCGUUGCUGUGGCUGGGGUGUAGGCUGGCAGCUGUAGCACCGAUUAGACCCCUAGCCUGGGAACCUCCAUAUGCCACAGGUGUGGCCCUAAAAAAGACAAAAAAGAAAAGAAGUUGGACUCUCUCAUGACUCCAUGCAAUGCUCAGGGAGGAAAAGAGCACAUUUAGAUUUUAUUUCUCUCCAACCUGGGCUAUUGAUUUUGUACUUUUGAAAAUGAUUUCUCUUAGAACACACCCAAACCAAUGAAUGUACAAAGGAGUACCAUUGCACCCGAGGUCUUUCUGCAAAGAUGGUAUGGUCUUUCCCACUGAAGUAAUUCAUUGUUCACAGAAUCUG
rnacentral:lncRNA from 1 species